rnacentral:rRNA from 1 species
UACGUAGGGCGCAAGCGUUAUCCGGAAUUAUUGGGCGUAAAGCGCACGUAGGCGGCUUGUUAAGUCAGGGGUGAAAUCCUGGAGCUCAACUCCAGAACUGCCUUUGAUACUGGCGAGCUUGAGUCCGGGAGAGGUGAGUGGAACUGCGAGUGUAGAGGUGAAAUUCGUAGAUAUUCGCAAGAACACCAGUGGCGAAGGCGGCUCACUGGCCCGGUACUGACGCUGAGGUGCGAAAGCGUGGGGAGCAAACAGG